rnacentral:rRNA from 1 species
CCUACGGGAGGCAGCGGUGAGGAAUAUUGGUCAAUGGGCGGGAGCCUGAACCAGCCAAGCCGCGUGAGGGAAGAAGGUACAGCGUAUCGUAAACCUCUUUUGUCAGGGAACAAAGGCGGGGACUAGUCCCCGGCUGAGGGUACCUGAAGAAAAAGCAUCGGCUAACUCCGUGCCAGCAGCCGCGGUAAUACGGAGGAUGCGAGCGUUAUCCGGAUUUAUUGGGUUUAAAGGGUGCGCAGGCGGCCUGUUAAGUCAGCGGUAAAAGCCCGGGGCUCAACCCCGGCGAGCCGUUGAAACUGGCGGGCUGGAGUUGGAGAGAAGUACGCGGAAUGGGCGGUGUAGCGGUGAAAUGCUUAGAUAGCGCGCAGAACCCCGAUUGCGAAGGCAGCGUACCGGCUCCACACUGACGCUGAGGCACGAAAGCGUGGGUAUCGAACAGGAUUAGAUACCCGUGUAGU